GUCGAUCAAUCGUUCACCAGCCCUAGUCUGCGGUUUCGUCUCCAUCUCUUCCUCUCGCCGUCGGUUACUCGCCGGGAAUUAUCCGGUUAGUCGAAUCAGCAUCGCGAUCUCGGCAACUUAGCCAACGGACAUGGCGGCUGCAGCUACAACGAGCGUUGUGCCGCCGAAUCGUCGGCGGACGGUUAACGCGCCGGAAGACAAGUUGGAAUUCGAGACGACGGAGGGGGUUGAGCCGAUCUUGAGUUUCGAUCAGAUGGGCAUCAAGGAUGACCUUCUCCGUGGAAUAUAUGCAUACGGUUUUGAAAAACCCUCGGCCAUUCAGCAGAGAGCUGUGAGACCGAUUAUUGAGGGUCGAGAUGUUAUAGCUCAGGCCCAAUCUGGAACUGGCAAGACCUCCAUGAUUGCCCUUACCGUU
rnacentral:misc_RNA from 1 species